CCGUGCUAGGUGGGGAGGUAGCGGUUCCCUGUACUCGAAAUCCGCUUUAUGCGAGACUUAAUUCCUUUGUUGAGGGCGUGUUUUUGUGAAGUCUGCCCGAAGCACGUAGUGUUUGAAGAUUUCGGUCCUAUGCAAUAUGAACCCAUGAAUCAUGUCAGGUCCUGACGGAAGCAGCAUUA
rnacentral:SRP_RNA from 1 species